CCUACGGGUGACAGCAGUGAGGAAUAUUGGUCAAUGGCCGGAAGGCUGAACCAGCCAUGCCGCGUGAAGGUCAGUGCCCUUUGGGCGUUAAACUUCUUUUGUGCGGGAGCAAUAAUGGUCACGUGUGGCCAGACGAGAGUACCGUACGAAUAAGCAUCGGCUAACUCCGUGCCAGCAGCCGCGGUAAUACGGGGGAUGCAAGCGUUAUCCGGAUUUAUUGGGUUUAAAGGGUGCGUAGGCUGUGAGGUAAGUCAGCGGUGAAAUGCCCCCGGUCAACGGGGUGAAGUGCCAUUGAUACUGCCUGGCUGGAAUGCGGAUGCCGUGGGAGGAAUGUGUGGUGUAGCGGUGAAAUGCAUAGAUAUCACACAGAACACCGAUUGCGAAGGCAUCUCACGAAUCCGCGAUUGACGCUGAUGCACGAAAGCGUGGGUAUCAAACAGGAUUAGAUACCCCUGUAGUC
rnacentral:rRNA from 1 species